UCUCUGUUGAGACGAAGCACAGUCCGAAGCCCGUGGAUAUAGUAAUAAUAAUACAUGGUACAGUAUAUCUUAAGAUCGUGCUUAAAACGAAGAAGUGACUCUGAAUACGGGCCCUAGUCUAUUUCUCUUCCGCCAACAGUAAACCAUAAUAUACCUACAGACGUUACAGAUAAUCGAAAAUAAAGAAUAGUGCGGUACUUACAGCGUGGACGUUCUUCCUUAUCGAUAGAAUCUUCGUAGCUGGUUUCCUCCUCAUCAGUGUUUACUCUGCACCAGCCUGCAACGAUGAAAACAAGGAAUAGAUAUGUCCCAGCGCCGUAGGUGGUAGCGAAGCAUAAUGGAAUAUCCUGGCUCGUGUCGCCAAAGACGACUUCGGCCAAUGGAACGAGGCGGCUGAUCUCAGCAAUUCUGUGCUAUUCAGACACUGGAAGGAAAGGGCAAGCAGCUGUGUCAGCCGAAUGAGAUGCAAGAUGAGAUUAAAAAAUCGAAGAGAGACGUCCUUCGUUGAUUUCGUCGACGGCUGCGAGCAAACGAAAAAUAAUAACGACCCGAGCAUGAGCCGUAACCUCGGAAAAGUCAGAUUGUUAAAGAAACACAUUGAGCUAUGUCAAAAGGAAGAUACUAACGAGUAGUCACGGAGUAAAUGAGUGCUGGCUUCAGUUAAAUUAAUUACGCCGAUGGUAAUUACACUUAGCAGCUGAGAGCUACGUGCAUCCUGCGUUAAACGGUGCCAGGCGCUUCUUCUGCAACCCUCCCGGCGCGGCCCUGGAUCGUUAGCGUCCAAGCCAUUGACUGUCUAUACGACAUAUGUACGCAUACCUAUGUGCGAACCCAGCCGUUGGACAUUUGAUAGAAAAGUUCAUGUUUCCCAGAAAAUAAAAUUAAAAGGUGAUCUAUACCUUCUACCAUACGUAACAGGAUGUUACAGUCUCUCCCUGCUCCCCUUUUCACCCCGGGGUCCAUCACUUCGAACAAAGUGAACUGGCAUCAUGGACCGCACACGGUGAACUGGCAACAAUAGUAAUUCUCGCGGCGAGUUACACGGAGGUACAGAGGUAGGUACACAAUGUUGCCUCUCGAAGGGGAAUGGCGGACAUUGGCUGGUCGUUUCCCAAGCCGUGCCCUCGAGGGACUUGGCGAAGAGUCAGUGAUGAAGGCUGGACAAGGGAGGUAGACGGGAGGUGGAAGAACGAAGACACGACACGAUCGGAUAUCUCGGUAGGACGGGAAAGGACUUGGAAGGAAGAUGGAGUAAAGAGGAGUGGACUGGUCUGGGGACUGUUUGUCGGACAUACCUGGGGGCCGCCACCCUGGCGUCUAAUUGCGUGUAAUGCACUCUGGCUUCCCUGGCAGUAGUUGCCGCCAGAAGAGGACGGCGAAAAACUCGGGUCGCGCACCGGCAAAACCCGCGAUCAGGGGACGCCGUGUUAUGUCCGGCACGCUCGGACCCACACGACGUCGACGUGGCCGAUCUUCUCGAUCCUCCCGAUACUUUGACGAAUGCUACCACUUUGGAUGAAGACGUGUUCCCCGUUGGUAGCUCCUCGCGAUACUCGUCGCUACGGUCCGAAAUAGCACUUCGCCAUAUGGGAUUUUUAUUCGAACGUUCUAGAACGUACUGGUCAUUUUUGCGAUGGGGCUUUAUGACCAAACCGGAAAGUGGUCAUUUUUUUAGUGGAUUAUAAUACAGUAGUGGGGCUUCUAGAAUCGGAUUGAAUGUUGAGCUUUUAUUAAUAUUGUUUCUAUGACUGUUUUUGUGAAUUUUCAUAAAAGCGAAAUGAAAUACCUGAAGGUGAGUUCGUCGGGUAUUCGAUGAGGUGGAACGACAGGUCGAGCAUUUAACGUGGCCAGGAUCUGUCGUUAGGAAUUUUUUGUCGCGCCUGGUUAUUAUGAAUAAUGAUUUAUGCCUUGUCUCUCGUGUUCGAGGGACAGAAGAAGGAGUUAAUGACGGUCGCGUGUUGUAAUGCCUGCCAUUAUCUACAAACCUUACCGCCUAACAAGCUACCUGCUAAUGACACACGACUCGCACAUGAUCACAUGCGUGAUCUUAUUUAGUCACAAUUUUUGUCAUUCUAUCCACGAAUUUGGUCAUUUUAAACCAAUGUUACACAUUGAACAAAGUCCGUGAAAAUUGGAUUUACGGACGUUUGAAAAGAUUUUCAAAAAAAAAAAAUUGUAUAAGAAUCAACCUGUUUGAGAAGAAAAAAAUCUAAUUCAUGAAAAAAAACCAUUGUCCGAGGGAUAAGAAUGUGUUCUAAUUAUAACAUACGGAAGUAUCGUUUAAGAAUUUUCAAAAAGCAACGGUGUCUUCAUUCGACCUGUUUUCCAAAAGGGGUGAAUUGGUCAUGGCCUUCUCAAAGAAAAACUAACCCUAAAAAAAACUUUGCCGAAACCAACCGGAAAUACCAGCAUCCGCGGAGGCUAUCGCUGGACAAUGGCAUUGUUCCAGCAAAAGGUGGAUUUCUCUUAAUGGAGGGCUCUCGAAGGGCUGGAUGAAGGAACAAAAAUCGGCUCCGGUAGCCGACCUGACUGGGGUCCAUUCAGAGAUCAGUAUCCACUAUCUCCACGUUAUAUUACUUAUUGGAAAUACUACGUUGGAAUUCGAUUGAUACGUUCGGGAUAUUCAUAACGAAGAAUCGUAGAUACACCUGCGGGAUGAAUCGUGGUGAAACUUUAUGAAUGAGUCUGAGCCGUCCUAAGGGGAUGUUUGGAAAAAGACAAUCCUUCCGGGAAGAGGAUCCAAUCCGUCUCAUUGACUAACAAACAGAUCCCUGUUAAAGUUGGAAAGAUUUUAAUUAUCAUGAUUAUCGAUGGCAUAAAAAGCCAUAAGACCCAAUAUCCGGUCUGAAUACAUAUUACAUAUAACAAAAAUCUACAUCUACAGCAUCUUCCAGAUAACUUUGUUCCAGGAGAUACGCCAUAUGUACAAGACGCCAUUGUCAGACCAUUUCCUCCAGAUCUCGUGGUUAUGCUCUUUUCAUAACCCAGACUCACUGAUAACUCCAUAGCAGGUAUUGCCAUCGGUACCUGAGACACCCGGCUGGGUUUUGACGUUUUUGUCCGUGACAGUCGUAAACCAAUAAUAGAGAGGAGACCGCCUUCGUCCUUAGCUCGGUGGUUCCGCGCCAUCCCACUUUCCAAGCCUUUUUCAGGGCUUUAUUCUCAUUUCAUAAGCGGCUCCUUUAUACGCCAUGUUACUUAUCUCAAAGCAUUAACCAGCUCAUCUCUUUCGGCGUUUACGACGCGGCACGCGGAGAUGCCUCCCACAGUCACAGCCGUGGGAGAUCGUUCGCAGUCGAGUUUAACAUUCGUUUUAAUAGUCGUCAUUUGGGAAUAACCUAGAAAGAAAAAUUAACCCAGGACACGUCAGGUAAUCGAUGGUCGGACGGUGGCUGGAGCAAAAAUAUGAUUGAACGUUAAAAAUAAGGAAUAAACAAAUACUUGAUCUCGGUGUCGAUCCACUGAUUAUUUUGACAAUACAGUUUAUUGAUCCGCCAGAAGAGUCAUCGGCGUUCCGAUUGGCUAGAGGAGCUAUCUGGGUCAUCCGGAGGAGGUCGGAUCGCUUCGAGUUCGUCGAGUUGAGCAACCGGCGUCCGAUGCUUCCCCGAAUUAAUGCCUAUUACAGCACAGGGACAAUCGCUCGAGCGGCAGAAGACAAGUAGGCGGCGAGUCGCACAAAAGGAACUCUGCAAAAGUCAAUCAGUAGCGGAGCAAUUACGCGGCCGAGCGAACGCUCUCGAGCGUGGGUACGUCCUAUCCGCGGGUGGCAAGGAUCCUAGUACACCCGGAGGAGAUGAAAGGAGGUGAAGUUAGUCGAAGGAGCCGCGGAUGACGAGGACAGGGACGAGGGAGAAGGUUUACGAGCCGCGAGAUGACAGGGCACGCGAUGCGAGAGUCGCCACUUCCGCUACUCCUUUCUACAUUGUCCCUUUUGGCAGGAGUUGGCUCUGCUAUCUGUUACGGAGUCGCUAGAAAAAAUUGAUCUGAAUUUCCAAAAAAAAUUUACUCAUAAAAUAUUCGGGAUCGUAAAAAAAUAUAUAUAUACAAAAUCAUACGAUUUUACCGAAAAUUGAUUUUUUAUUGAUUUAAAAAAAAUUUUAUACAUGAUCGGAUUUCAUCGUAACUCAAAGCCAUCUCUAAGCGCUUAACGUUGUACAUGCAGGAUACUAGUUGCUGGCUGCUGGCAAUUACAUCGGGGCCAGUCUCAGAAAAACUAUUUGUAGAUCGGUUGCCAAUUACAUCGGAAGAGACGAAGGUUGGUCUCCAAUUUGCCGUAAACUCAGGAGCAAAGGGCGGAUGUCACCGAAAAGGUGUGGCGAGGGAUUCUUAUUGGAAAUUGUGUUACUAGGAAAAGAGAAAAAAAUUGUCUCUUGUUUUACACGUAUAUCCAUGGUAUAACGUGCCUUAUAGGCCAUAAGACAUAUUUACAUAGACAGAUGUAGCGAGGACCCUUUUUAACGAGAGUCUAUUUAUUGUUUUACUCCGUAAGAAACGCUCUGGUACAUAAUGCAUGGGGUCGUACAGAAUAGAAUCGUCUGGUCAUCAUAGAAAUAGAAUUUUCUAUAGAC